rnacentral:rRNA from 1 species
AGUAACACGUGGUUGACCUACCCCAAAGUAAGGGAUAACUGGUUCGAAAGGACUGCUAAUACCUUAUAAGCUCCCGGUGUUUAGAAAACUGGGAGAAAAGUUCCGGCGCUUUGGGCGGGGACUGCGGACCAUCAGCUAGUUGGUGUGGUAACGGCACACCAAGGCGACGACGGAUAGGGGACCUGAGAGGGUGGCCCCCCACACUGGAACUGAGACACGGUCCAGACUCCUACGGGAGGCAGCAGUGAGGAAUAUUGCACAAUGGGCGCAAGCCUGAUGCAGCGACGCCGCGUGGGUGAUGAAGGUUUUCGGAUCGUAAAGCCCUUUUCUAGAUGACGAGUAAGGACGGUAGUCUAGGAAUAAGUGUCGGCUAACUACGUGCCAGCAGCCUCGGUAAAACGUAGGACACAAGCGUUAUCCGGAGUUACUGGGGCGUAAAGGGCGUGUAGGCGGACCUGUAAGUCUAUUCUGAAAGCUCCUGGCUAAACUGGGAGAGGCGAAUGGAGACUGCCCAUCUAGAGUGAGGAAGAAGAAAGUGGAAUUCCGCGUGUAGUGGUGAAAUGCGUAGAGAUGCGGAGGAACACCAGUGGCGAAAGCGACUUUCUGGUCCUUAACUGACGCUGAUGCGCGAAAGCAUGGGGAGCGAACGGGAUUAGAAACCCCGGUAGUCCAUGCCAUAAACGAUGUUCACUAAACGUUCGUUUCCCGCGAGGGAAGCGGGUGUUGAAGCCAACGCAGUAAGUGAACCGCCUGGGGAGUACGGUCGCAAGGCUAAAACUCAAAGGAAUUGACGGGGGACCGCACAAGCAGCGGAGCGUGUGGUUUAAUUCGAGGCUACACGAAGAACCUUACCUGGGUUUGACAUCGUGUUGAAGUGCCCAUGAAAGUGGGUAUGCCUCGCAAGAGGCAAUACGACAGGUGCUGCAUGGCUGUCGUCAGCUCGUGCCGUGAGGUGUUCGGUUAAGUCCGCAAACGAGCGCAACCCUCGGUGCCAGUUACAAGUGUCUGGCGCGACUGCCCGUGGCAAACGGGAGGAAGGUGGGGAUGACGUCAAGUCAGCAUGGCCUUUAUAUCCAGGGCUACA